GGUGAGGGAAACAUUGGCACCUGUACUAGGUGAGGGAAACAUUGGCACCUGUACUAGGUGAGGGAAACAUUGGCACCUGUACUAGGUGAGGGAAACAUUGGCACCUGUACUAGGUGAGGGAAACAUUGGCACCUGUACUAGGUGAGGGAAACACUGGCACUUGUACUAGGUGAGGGAAACAUUGGCCCCUGUACUAGGUGAGGGAAACAUUGGCACUUGUACUAGGUGAGGGAAACAUUGGCAUCUGUACUAGGUGAGGGAAACAUUGGCACUUGUACUAGGUGAGGGAAACAUUUGCAUCUGUACUAGGUGAGGGAAACAUUGGCACCUGUACUAGGUGAGGGAAACAUUGGCACCUGUACUAGGUGAGGGAAACAUUGGCCCCUGUAAUAGGUGAGGAAAAC